GACGAACCUUGCUAACGUUAUUCGGAAUUACUGGGCGUAAAGGGCUCGUAGGUGGCCAACUAAGUCAGACGUGAAAUCCCUCGGCUUAACCGGGGAACUGCGUCUGAUACUGGAUGGCUUGAGUUCGGGAGAGGGAUGCGGAAUUCCAGGUGUAGCGGUGAAAUGCGUAGAGAUCGGGAAGAAGGCCGGUGGCGAAGGCGGCUCUCUGGAACGUUCCUGACACUGAGGCACGAAAGCGUGGGGAGCAAACAGG
rnacentral:rRNA from 1 species